GAAAGACGGUAGCUCAACUAUCGCAGUGCCCUUGAUACUGAUGGGCUUGAAUUGACUAGAGGUAGGCGGAAUGUGACAAGUAGCGGUGAAAUGCAUAGAUAUGUCACAGAACACCGAUUGCGAAGGCAGCUUACUAUGGUCUUAUUGACGCUGAGGCACGAAAGCGUGGGGAUCAAACAGGAUUAGAUACCCUGGUAGUCCACGCCCUAAACGAUGAACACUCGCUGUUGGCGAUACACAGUCAGCGGCUAAGCGAAAGCGUUAAGUGUUCCACCUGGGGAGUACGCCCGCAAGGGUGAAACUCAAAGGAAUUGACGGGGGCCCGCACAAGCGGAGGAGCAUGUGGUUUAAUUCGAUGAUACGCGAGGAACCUUACCCGGGCUUGAAAGUUAGUGAAUGUUCCAGAGAUGGGACAGUCCGCAAGGACACGAAACUAGGUGCUGCAUGGCUGUCGUCAGCUCGUGCCGUGAGGUGUUGGGUUAAGUCCCGCAACGAGCGCAACCCCUAUGUCUAGUUGCCAGCACGUAACGGUGGGGACUCUAGACAGACUGCCUGUGCAAACAGAGAGGAAGGAGGGGACGACGUCAAGUCAUCAUGGCCCUUACGUCCGGGGCUACACACGUGCUACAAUGGAUGGUACAGAGGGCAGCGAGCCGGCAACGGCAAGCAAAUCUCAAAAAGCCAUUCACAGUUCGGAUUGGGGUCUGCAACUCGACCCCAUGAAGUUGGAUUCGCUAGUAAUCGCAUAUCAG
rnacentral:rRNA from 1 species